UUUCCGUAGGUGAACCUGCGGAAGGAUCAUUAUUGAAUAAACAGUGUGGGUUGUUGCUGGCCUUCUGGCAUGUGCACGCCUGCCAUAUGUUUCAUUCCCUUCUUUCCAUCUGUGCACUAUGUGUAGGCUAUGUAUGCUGUAUUGUCAGGCCCUUCAUAAGGCUUGGUUUAGAGAGGAUGCUUGUCUUUAUGAGACAGGCUCAUCUUGGGCGUACAGGUCUAUGUUUUACACCAACACCAAAUGAAUGUCUUAGAAUGUAUUUUUUCAGGCUCUUGCUAGCCUUUAAACCAUAUACAACUUUCAACAACGGAUCUCUUGGCUCUC
rnacentral:misc_RNA from 1 species